AUGCAGCUAGCCAUGGCUGCCCAAGACGAGCAGCAGCGGCCGCUGCACAUCCUCUUCUUCCCGUUCCUAGCCCCCGGCCACCUCAUUCCAAUAGCCGACAUGGCCGCGCUCUUCGCCGCCCGUGGCGUCAGGUGUACCAUCCUCACAACGCCCGUCAACGCAGCCAUCAUCCGCUCGGCCGUCGACCGUGCCAAUGACGCUCUCGCUGGCCCGGCCAUUGAUAUCUCCGUCGUGCCGUUUCCUGACGUCGGGCUCCCGCCGGGCGUCGAAAACGGCAUGGCCCUUAGAUCCCAGGGCGACCGCGACAAGUUCGCUCGAGCGGUGCAGCUGCUCCGCGAGCCCUUCGAACACUUCUUGGUUCACAACCACCCCGACGCGGUCGUGGCCGGCAGCUACUUCCACUGGUCCGCCGACGCUGCCGCGGAGCACGGUGUCCCACGCCUCACCUUCCUCGGUAGCAGCAUGUUCGCGCGGUCCUGCAGCGAGAGCAUGCUGCGCAACAACCCAUUGGCUACUGUCCCCGACGACCCCGACGCGCUCGUUUCCCUGCCGGGGCUGCCGCACCGUGUCGAGCUGAGGCGGAGCCAAAUGAUGGACCCCGUGAAGCAGGCGGACCACUGGGCAUUCUUCCAGAGCGUGAACGCCGCGGACCAGAGGAGCUUCGGCGAGGUUUUUAAUAGCUUCCAUGAGCUGGAGCCGGACUACGUCGAGCACUACCACACGACCCUUGGCCGGCGCGCGUGGCUCGUCGGGCCGGUAGCACUCGCCAGCAAGGACAUGGCUGGGAGAGGCACCGACGCGCUCUCACCGGACUCGGACAACUGCCCUGGGUGGCUGAACACGAAGCCUGCUGGCUCGGUGGUGUACGUCUCCUUCGGCACACUGAUCAGGUUCUCGCCGCCGGAGCUGCACCAGCUCGCCCGCGGCCUCGAACUCUCAGGCAGAAAUUUCAUGUGGGUGACGGGCGCCGCGGGCCCGGACCCUUCAGAGUGGAUGCCUGAAGGCUUCACCGAGCUGAUGGCACGCGGCGACCGCGGGUUCAUCAUCCGAGGCUGGGCGCCACAGCUGCUCAUUCUGAACCACCCUGCCAUUGGUGGGUUCGUGACGCACUGUGGUUGGAACUCGGCACUUGAGGCCGUGAGCGCCGGUGUGCCGAUGGUCACGUGGCCGCGGUAUGCAGAUCAGUUCAGCAACGAGAAGCUUAUUGUGGAAGUGCUCAAGGUGGGCGUCAGCAUCGGCGCCAAGGACUACGCAUCGUCCGUGGAGACUCACCAAGUGAUCGGCGGUGAAGUAAUCGCUGAAUCCAUCGGAAGAUUGAUGAGCAACAACGAGGAGGGCGGUGCCAUAAGAAAGAAGGCCAAGGACCUCAGUGUGAAGGCAAGGACCGCGGUGGAGAAUGGUGGAUCUUCGUACAAUGAUGUUGGCCAGCUGAUGGACGAGUUGACGGCCCGCCGGAGUUCAACGAAGGUUGGAGAAAUGUAA
rnacentral:rRNA from 1 species